GGCUCUUUGGUCUAGAGGUAUGAUUCCUGCUUUGGGUGCACUCAUGCAGGAGGCCCCGGGUUCGAUCCCCGGAAGAGCCC